GACCAGGACCACACCCCUAAAUGCAUUGAAGCAACUGCCAUGUGAUUGGUUGAUUAUAUAAUUGCAUUAAUGAGAAAUUCAACAGGUGUUCCUAAUAAUCCUUUAGGUGAGUGUAUGUCUACAAGAUCUGAAAGCUUUUAGCUACCCUUGAUUGUUAACGUGGAUUAUCUCAGGCAUUAUUCAUAGUUUGUUGAUAUUUGUGUUUAUCAUGUGCAUUAAACGAAGCAAGGUCAGGUCAGGUUGGGGAGCAUGCAUUAGUACAGCCCGUUGUUACACCCACUACACGAUGAAACACCUUGGAAUCCUGGUUGGUGACCUCCCCCAGGCUGACAUGCAGUCGAGUCGCACCCCCUGGAAAUGGACAUCUACAUGGGCGUCCCCUUGGCCUGGUCCAGCUACUCAGAUCCUCAGCAAUAACGAUCCUGCGAGCUGGAUGACUCUCAGGGAAACGAGCCUCAUGGCUGUAGUGUCAUAAUGCUGUAACUGAUGCUCCGUCACAAUGCAGGUAAUGUGCCUCAUUCAGAACCCCGUGAGCAACUGCUUGAUCACCAGUCAAACCAGUGGUUCUCCGAAGAGACACGGUACUAAAGGAGUCCAGUCUUCAUCUCAGGUCACUGGAUAUCAUCCAUGUCUCGCAGCCAUACAGCAAAACAGGGAGCAUGAGGACUCUAAAGACUUGGACUCUUGUCCUCUUACAAAAAUGUUGGGAGCACCACACAUUCCUUUUCCAGUGACCUCAUGACCCCCCCCCCCCAAUGCUCUCCCAGUCCGUCUACUGACCUAAUAGGAAGAAUCACCAGAGACAUGAAUAUUGCUGCUGAGAUGCCCCACUGCCGCUGAACCCCACGACCCUGCUCAGCACACAGUCCAUGCAAGCAUUGAACAGAGUAGGAGCAAGAACACACCUCUGAUGAAUCACAGAAUCAACUGGGAAGAAUGCAGAGGUUCUCCCUCCAUUCUGCACAAGACUCACAGUACCAAUGUACAAUCCAGUCAUGAUACCCAUGAUCCCUCAAAGUGUCAGGAUGUCCCACAGGGCAGCUUGAUCAACUAAGUCGAACAUUUUAAAAAUAUCAACAAAGGCUGCAAAGAGACUUUGCCAAUAUUUGCAUUUGUACUCGAUGAGAACCCUUAGUGCCAGGAUGCAGUCAAUGGUAGAUGACUUGGGUGUAAAACCAGAUUGCUGUGAUUAUUAUUAUGUUAUUGUUAUUCUAAUUUUACGGAUUCUGAAUUCUUUAAAUAUGGGACCAGGUUUUACCAUUAAACUUGAUGAUACAUGUGUA